UGAUUUCAAAAUUCAUAAGUGGUAGUGAGCUGCAGGGCCAGACUGAGCUGUGGUUUGGUUUCCUGUACCAGGGCGCCUAGUCAGGGGGCCAUUGGAGACUGAACCUCAACUCUCAUUUCUCUCUCUCUUUUUUUGUUUUGCUUUUUAGGGCUGCACCCACAGCAUUUAGAAGUUCCCAGGCUAAGGGUUGACUCGGAGCUACAGCGGCUGGCCUACGCCACAGCCACAGCAAUGCGGGAUCCAAGCCAUGUCUGUGACCUACACCACAGCUCAGGGCAAUGCCUGAUCCUUAAGCCAUUGAGUGAGGCCAGGGAUCAAACCCGCAUCCUCAUGGAUCCUAGUCAGGUUCGUUAAUUGCUGAGCCAUGAAAGGAACUCCUCAACUCUCAUUUCUCUUGCCAAAUUUGUAUGCAUGGGACUUGUGUGCUCCAUUCAACACCAUUUGUAAGUUAUAAGUAGGACCUGUGUGGCUGGUAGGGUCCUUCCUGUUGGUAGGUACCAUGCACAGGAAAGAGAAGGUGGAAAAUUACAGGUUAGGAGAGCCUAGAUCCAGAGCAAGAAGGGAUGCCUGCACAUGGUUUUGGCACUGGUGAGAGUAAAGUUGAGGGGGUUGUUCUAGCCCCACUGGUAGAUACCAAAAUUGGUGGAUACUCAAGUCCUUAUAUAAAAUGGUAUAAAGUAUUUGCAUAGAGUAUAAGUACAACCUUCUGUGUACUUCAGAUCCCUCCAGAUUACUUAGGGUACCUAAAGUAACAUAAUACUAUGUAAAUAGUUGCUAAUGCAAUGCAAAUGCUAUGUAAAUAGUUGCCAGUGUACAGCAAUUUCACAGUUUGCUUUUUAGAACUUUCUGGAAUUUUUUUCUCAAAUAUCGUCUAUCUGCGAUUGAUUGAAUUUUGGAUGUGAAAUUUCUGGAUAUGAAGGUUCCAACUGUAUAUGUUCCCGGCUUCUUCCUCACGUCCCCUUCCCUCUGUAGUGGAAAGAUCAGGAAGGUGCUGAACCAAGACGAGGAAGAAGGGCCCGUGUAACUUCAACACUGGUCAUGGACUCUUAGAUUUCUCUGAAGGGAGUAGCUGAAUUUCUCUCUGGGAUGAAAAAAUCAGGAAAGAGCAAUAAGGAAAAAGUAAAUGUAAUAAGAAAUGAAAAUGAACAAUAAAUGCAACAUGUUUAUUGAAAACGUUCUCUGUACCAGAAGCUGAAUCAGAUACUUCAUUGUUUAAAUAACUUCUUACACUCACUGUGGUUUACAAUAAAUUCUUUUUAAAAAUGAGAUUUACCCAUCUGCAUGAAUGCCCUCAUUUGAAUUCUAUGAUUUUUCUUCACUUCUAGCUAGUCACUAAGCAUAAAUUUCCUGAAAAUAGAAGAGACUCAACUGCUAUUAUUCAAAUAAUGACCAUUGUGCCAGAAGGGAGUGUCAAGGAGUUAAUUAAAGUUAACAAAACCAUUGCCAGAUUUCCUAGGGUGAGAAAAGUUUUUCUUUUCCCCUGCGUUUUUUAUGUAAAGCAUAGAAGACUAACAGGCAUUUCUUUCAUGUCACUCAGAGUUUCUCAUUCAGCAAAUACUUAUUGAAUAUUCACUGUGUCCUGGACACUGAGUAGGCACCUGGUACAAAGCAGGCCUGAGAAGUCUCUGGCCUUAGGGAGCAGGGUUCAGGGGAAGGGCAGACUUAACUCAUGAGCAAGAAAGGGCCCUGAGACCCCUUUAUGUGGUCAUCAGUAAGGGCCCUACUCAGUGUGUACCAGUUAGGAUUAAGUUUAUCUGCAUGUGAUAGAAAACCUAAACUAACAGUGGCUUAAAGACACAAGUUUUUAUUUUCUCAAGGGCAAGAACUCUUGAUCAGGACUUAUGUGGUAUUACUAUGAUGUUUUCAGGGACUCAGACUAUCCAGCUUUCCACUCCAUCAUCCCUACCUUAUGGCCCUCAUUCACAUGGUUCAUUGUGGCUGCCAGGGCUCCAGCUAUCACAUAGUCAUUCCAGGAGAAUGAGAAGAAGGGCAUACUUUCUCCCUUUAAAGGAAGCUUGGGAAAUAUAGUCUUUAUUCUAGGCAGUCAUGGGCACAGCUAAAUUCAGAAGGUUUACUUUACUAAGGAAGAAGGAGAAACUUUAUACUGAGGUCAGCAACCAGCAGCCUCCCUCUAGGCGUGAGGUGCAAUGGUCUGGGAAAGCUUUGUGAAGGUGGUAGGGUGUGACUCAGGCUUUCAUGACUGGGUAGUAUUUGGAUCAGACUGACUGAAAACCUGUUGACUAUAGACUAGACCCCUGUGCUAUAGCAGAUACGUCUGUGAUAGAGCUUGGGAAGGUCCUGCUCUGGCAGAUUGUCCACUUAGAGAACCCUGACCACCGUCUCAGGAGUUCCAAGAGUCAAGCUGUAGAUUAGCAGGUUUUGAUUAUUAUUGUUAUUUAACAUUUAAGUACAGGAGAUUUUGUAGAUAUAAUGUAGGGACUCACACAUGGGAGUUCUUAGAAUGCGAACUCUGUCCCUUGUUUUCUGUCAUGCCCAGAACACACACCUGGCCCUAUAGAGCAUGGCAAAUAAAGGGGAGGGGAAGGCAAGCUGAAAUCCAGAGAGACCCAGUAUGGGGAGUGCAGUUGGAUGGUCCUAGAGAAAAGCUUGUUCUUCUUCCUAAGUUCCUUGCCUCUGUUUUAUCCAGACCCCAGAGAAAUCGGCAGUUUGGUUUUCUCCUUUUUUCUUCUCCCCUAAGGUUUUGCAGAAUACAGAGCUAGCAGGAUUACCUGGGUUGUUAGGGGUCAUGCUGUCAACAAAACAAGGAUGUCUGUUACCAUUGCCUGUAUUAAAUGUUGUUCUGUAGGCACUAGCUAAUGAACUCGGACAAGCAAGAGGAUGCAUGUGGAAAGCGAGAGGUGGAAUUUCCAUGCUGUGCAUAUGGUAGACUUAUAUCCUAAAUGAUGAACUAUUUAUUAUAAACAACCAGAGAAUACAGUAAGGUGCAUGGGACGUGAAAUGAAUAUACAAAAAUAGCUUUAGAGAAAAAGGACCAGGUAGAAAAUAAAAUGGAAGCAAAGACUCCAUUCACAGCAAGGAUAAGUGAGAAUAAUUUAGGUGAACUAGUUUUGUAAGCUAUUAUAUAUUUUAAGUGGUAUUAUAUAUAUUUAAUUAGUAUAAUACCAAUACUAGAAUAGACAGAAAGAUCAAUAGUAUAGAAUGGAAUCGAGAACUAGACACUGAUAUAUAUAAAUAGAAACUUUAUCUUAAGAUAAAGGUGGCAUUUUAUAUCAGUAAGGAAAAUGAUAGAUUAUUCAAUAAAUAGUUUGGGACAACUGGGUAGCCAUCUGGAAAAACAAAAAUUGGAUCAAUAUCUCACUUUUAGUGCCAACAUAAAUGCCAGAAAGAUACAAAUUUAAAUCUUCAAAGUAGUAAAAGACAGAAGUUUUAAAAAUUGUAUGGUAGCAUCGUCUGCCUAGGUAUAACACAAACCCUGUAAAUCAUAAAUACAAACCGAUAUGUUAAAUUUAAAUUUCAAAAGAGUAAACAAAACCAGGCCUCAUGGAGGUUAUGUCCCUGAUAGCUUCAUGAACCAU
rnacentral:lncRNA from 1 species